CUAAAAGAAACGAACAUACUGUUCUCAUUCAGUUAGAACGCAAUUCGGCAGUUUUGUGUAAAGUGACAGGAAGCAUUGUGGGAACACAGAGGAAAGGUAAGGAUCAUGGGAAAAUUGCUCUGACCAACGGAAAUGAAGCACACUUUGCUCCUCCGCUGGUCAGAGCUGGUCAAGCGGAGGAAUCCUCCAUAAGGCAAAGAGUCCCUACUUUGUCUUAUGAUUUUAAAGAAAACUAAAGAAGACAGGAAGAAAAGAAUAAC